rnacentral:rRNA from 1 species
GUGUCAGCCGCCGCGGUAAUACGUAGGGUGCAAGCGUUGUCCGGAAUUAUUGGGCGUAAAGAGCUCGUAGGCGGUCUGUCGCGUCGGAAGUGAAAACCCGGGGCUCAACCCCGGGCCUGCUUUCGAUACGGGCAGACUAGAGUUCGGCAGGGGAGACUGGAAUUCCUGGUGUAGCGGUGAAAUGCGCAGAUAUCAGGAGGAACACCGGUGGCGAAGGCGGGUCUCUGGGCCGAUACUGACGCUGAGGAGCGAAAGCGUGGGGAGCAAACAGGAUUAGAUACCCCCGUAGUCC